GUCAGACGCCGACAUUGGUACACCAAGUCGAGCUCAGCUCGGUGUCGGAGGCUUCAUGGCGGGGUCGAAAUUUAAAACCCCGGGGGCUCGACAGCGAAACUGUCUGCUAAAGUUUUUAAAGGUUAAGAGACACUGGGACGAUCGCGUCAAAUAACAGGAUUAGCUCGGAAAUUUAUCCAGAAAGAAAAAUCGGCGAGGGGGGCCGUGACCCAGAGAAGUUGUCCUAGACUGGAGGAAGAGGAAGACCAAGCUAUGCCAAAUCCUUCUUGGUGAUGAUGUGUCUGUGCCACGUGAUUGAUGUCUUCAGAUAUCCAACCUGCACACUGCCUGACGUCUAGCCCCCACAAGUCUGCAAAGUGGCAUGCCAACAUUGCUCAACUCAGCUGACUAAACACAAACUAUGGCCAUUGAUGAACAACAUAAACCUGACUAGAUGCAUCUUCUUGGAACCUGCAAACUAUGUACCACCUAACCAGCAACAGACUCAUCCACUAACGUCCCUCAAAGUGCUUAGGAGGCUCUUUCUUGCCAUCAGACUCACCACUACUCAACACAACACAAACUGGACACCCAUCUGGGGACCACAACAUUAUUGGGAGAAGGACAUUCUGUAACUGUAUUUGUGAUGAUUCUCUGAAGUGGGUAUUCAGCCCAUAGAUAAUGUACUAUGACUCCAUUUAAAAUCUGUAUUGGUAUCUGAAGUCCAUGUAUGCUCCUGUGUUGGAUAUCAAGUAAAAUCAUUGCUUA